rnacentral:rRNA from 1 species
CCUACGGGAGGCAGCAGUGAGGAAUAUUGGUCAAUGGGCGAGAGCCUGAACCAGCCAAGUAGCGUGCAGGACGACGGCCCUAUGGGUUGUAAACUGCUUUUAUACAGGGAUAAAGUCGGGGACGCGUUCCCCGUUUGCAGGUACUGUAUGAAUAAGGACCGGCUAAUUCCGUGCCAGCAGCCGCGGUAAUA